GUGUUUAGGAAGCAGCUCAGAUCCAACUGUCUCUUUUCCUGAAGUUAGAACGAGGAGUUUCGCCACAUUAGCAGAGAUGUGGAGCGAGGGAAGGAAGAGGCCAGAGGGAAGGAAGCCACCUGAAUGGCAAUGGGGUGACCCAGAGGCAGGCCCCAGAGCUGGAGAAGUUCAUCUGAAACUAUGUUUUUUUCCAGGAGUCCAUGAGAAUUGAUCUGUAACACUGUCUCCAUUGGAUGCCCUGGCUCUCCGGCUACACUGUUUGGAGGAAGCCACACACGUCCGGCUCCCUGAGAACAUGGGCCUUCUGGAGACUCCCAGACCAUCACUGGCUGGUAUAUUUGAGAGAAACUAGAGCUCUGAUGAAAUCCCUGUGGCAAAUACUCUCUUGAGAGUUUGCCAGUUGCCUCAAAACCUGCCCAGACUCCACAGAAAGGCUCGUUAUCUCUGGGG